UACAGAGGUCUCAAGCGUUGUUCGGAUUCAUUGGGCGUAAAGGGUGCGUAGGUGGCGCAGUAAGUCGGGUGUGAAAUUUCGGAGCUUAACUCCGAAACUGCAUUCGAUACUGCCGUGCUUGAGGACUGGAGAGGAGACUGGAAUUUACGGUGUAGCAGUGAAAUGCGUAGAGAUCGUAAGGAAGACCAGUGGCGAAGGCGGGUCUCUGGACAGUUCCUGACACUGAGGCACGAAGGCCAGGGGAGCAAACGGG
rnacentral:rRNA from 1 species